rnacentral:tRNA from 1 species
GCGGUAUAGCCAAGUGGUAAGGCACAGGUCUGCAAAACCUUCAUCACCGGUUCAAAUCCGGUUACCGC